UGCGGAAGUGGCGGAAUUGGUAUACGCGCUAUCUUGAGGUGGUAGUGGAGCAGUCCUUAGGGGUUCGAGUCCCCUCUUUCGCAA
rnacentral:tRNA from 1 species